AUGCAGGGCGGCGGCCUUGGCGGUGGGAGACGCGACGUUCGUGGGCGGAGCUCGCGUCUCAGGUGCGGGUGUGCAGCCAUGGCCACGCGGGUGGUUUGGUUGCGGGUGGUUGGCGGAGGUAGGGUGCGUUGGAGGGGUGUGAGCGCCGGGGUACACCACUUGCUCAUGGGCCGACGGUGGCGACGUCCGUGGACGCCGUAUCCUUCAUGA
rnacentral:rRNA from 1 species